rnacentral:rRNA from 1 species
UACGUAGGGUGCAAGCGUUAUCCGGAAUCACUGGGCGUAAAGCGUCUGUAGGUGGUCAAAUAAGUCAACUGUUAAAUCUUGAGGCUCAACCUCAAAAUCGCAGUCGAAACUAUUAGACUAGAGUAUAGUAGGGGUAAAGGGAAUUUCCAGUGGAGCGGUGAAAUGCGUAGAGAUUGGAAAGAACACCGAUGGCGAAGGCCCUUUACUGGGCUAUUACUAACACUGAGAGAAGAAUGCUAGGGUAGCAAAUGGG